rnacentral:rRNA from 1 species
AUUGAACGCUGGCGGCAGGCCUAACACAUGCAAGUCGAGCGGAUGAAGAGAGCUUGCUCUCUGAUUCAGCGGCGGACGGGUGAGUAAUGCCUAGGAAUCUGCCUGGUAGUGGGGGACAACGUUUCGAAAGGAACGCUAAUACUGCAUACGUCCUACGGGAGAAAGUGGGGGAUCUUCGGACCUCACGCUAUCAGAUGAGCCUAGGUACGAUUAGCUAGUUGGUGAGGUAAAGGCUCACCAAGGCGACGAUCGUUAACUGGUCUGAGAGGAUGAUCAGUCACACUGGAACUGAGACACGGUCCAGACUCCUACGGGAGGCAGCAGUGGGGAAUAUUGGACAAUGGGCGAAAGCCUGAUCCAGCCAUGCCGCGUGUGUGAAGAAGGUCUUCGGAUUGUAAAGCACUUUAAGUUGGGAGGAAGGGCAGUAAGUUAAUACCUUGCUGUUUUGACGUUACCGACAGAAUAAGCACCGGCUAACCUCGUGCCAGCCGCCGCCGUAAAAC